rnacentral:rRNA from 1 species
CCUACGGGCGGCAGCAGUGAGGAAUAUUGGUCAAUGGUCGAAAGUCUGAACCAGCCAAGUAGCGUGAAGGAUGACUGCCCUAUGGGUUGUAAACUUCUUUUAUAUGGGAAUAAAAUGUUCCACGUGUGGGAUUUUGUAUGUACCAUAUGAAUAAGGAUCAGCUAACUCCGUGCCAGCAGCCGCGGUAAUACGGAGGAUCCGAGCGUUAUCCGGAUUUAUUGGGUUUAAAGGGAGCGUAGGUGGAUUGUUAAGUCAGUUGUGAAAUUUUGCGGCUCAACCGUAAAAUUGCAGUUGAAACUGGCAGUCUUGAGUACAGUAGAGGUGGGCGGAAUUCGUGGUGUAGCGGUGAAAUGCUUAGAUAUCACGAAGAACUCCGAUUGCGAAGGCAGCUCACUGGACUGCAACUGACACUGAGGCUUGAAAGUGUGGGUAUCAAACAGGAUUAGAUACCCCUGUAGUC